ACGCCCCGCAAGGGGAGUGGCAGACGGGUGAGUAACGCGUGGGAACAUACCCUUUCCUGCGGAAUAGCUCCGGGAAACUGGAAUUAAUACCGCAUACGCCCUACGGGGGAAAGAUUUAUCGGGGAAGGAUUGGCCCGCGUUGGAUUAGCUAGUUGGUGGGGUAAAGGCCUACCAAGGCGACGAUCCAUAGCUGGUCUGAGAGGAUGAUCAGCCACAUUGGGACUGAGACACGGCCCAAACUCCUACGGGAGGCAGCAGUGGGGAAUAUUGGACAAUGGGCGCAAGCCUGAUCCAGCCAUGCCGCGUGAGUGAUGAAGGCCUUAGGGUUGUAAAGCUCUUUCACCGAUGAAGAUAAUGACGGUAGUCGGAGAAGAAGCCCCGGCUAACUUCGUGCCAGCAGCCGCGGUAAUACGAAGGGGGCUAGCGUUGUUCGGAAUUACUGGGCGUAAAGCGCACGUAGGCGGAUAUUUAAGUCAGGGGUGAAAUCCCGCAGCUCAACUGCGGAACUGCCUUUGAUACUGGGUAUCUUGAGUAUGGAAGAGGUAAGUGGAAUUCCGAGUGUAGAGGUGAAAUUCGUAGAUAUUCGGAGGAACACCAGUGGCGAAGGCGGCUUACUGGUCCAU
rnacentral:rRNA from 1 species